AACGCAUAUUGCGCCCGCCAGCAUCCUGGCGGGCAUGCCUGUUCGAGCGUCAUUUCAACCCUCAGGCUUCGCCUGGCGUUGGGGUCCUGCGCAGCAGCCCCCUAAAGACAGCGGCGGGUGUGCCCCGAGACUGAACGCAGUAGUGUAUCUCGUUCGGGUGUAAGGGCGCGCUCCGGCCGGAAAACCUCUCUUCGUGGUUGACCUCGGAUCAGGUAGGAAUACCCGCUGAACUUAA
rnacentral:misc_RNA from 1 species